rnacentral:rRNA from 1 species
GAUGAACGCUGGCGGCGUGCCUAAUACAUGCAAGUCGAGCGAACAGAUGAGGAGCUUGCUCCUCUGACGUUAGCGGCGGACGGGUGAGUAACACGUGGAUAACCUACCUAUAAGACUGGGAUAACUUCGGGAAACCGGAGCUAAUACCGGAUAAUAUAUUGAGCCGCAUGGUUCAAUAGUGAAAGACGGUUUUGCUGUCACUUAUAGAUGGAUCCGCGCCGCAUUAGCUAGUUGGUAAGGUAACGGCUUACCAAGGCAACGAUGCGUAGCCGACCUGAGAGGGUGAUCGGCCACACUGGAACUGAGACACGGUCCAGACUCCUACGGGAGGCAGCAGUAGGGAAUCUUCCGCAAUGGGCGAAAGCCUGACGGAGCAACGCCGCGUGAGUGAUGAAGGUCUUCGGAUCGUAAAACUCUGUUAUUAGGGAAGAACAAAUGUGUAAGUAACUAUGCACGUCUUGACGGUACCUAAUCAGAAAGCCACGGCUAGCUACGUG